UGGGGAAUCUUGCGCAAUGGGCGAAAGCCUGACGCAGCCAUGCCGCGUGAAUGAUGAAGGUCUUAGGAUUGUAAAAUUCUUUCACCGGGGACGAUAAUGACGGUACCCGGAGAAGAAGCCCCGGCUAACUUCGUGCCAGCAGCCGCGGUAAUACGAAGGGGGCUAGCGUUGCUCGGAAUUACUGGGCGUAAAGGGAGCGUAGGCGGACAUUUAAGUCAGGGGUGAAAUCCCGGGGCUCAACCUCGGAAUUGCCUUUGAUACUGGGUGUCUUGAGUAUGAGAGAGGCGUGUGGAACUCCGAGUGUAGAGGUGAAAUUCGUAGAUAUUCGGAAGAACACCAGUGGCGAAGGCGACACACUGGCUCAUUACUGACGCUGAGGCUCGAAAGCGUGGGGAGCAAACAGG
rnacentral:rRNA from 1 species